CAUCAACAAUACAGACUCAUACUGACUCUGUAAACCAAACCGGGUGAUCUGAAUCCAUGUGAACAACAAAAGACGGUUGCUUUCUAGCACUGCACGCUAGACGAUCCGUCUUUAAAUUUUGCGUCCGUGGUACAUAGAUAAUCUCUGAUCGGGUGAAGCUCUCUUUCAGGGUCUUGAUAUCUUCCAAAUAAUUUGCAAA
rnacentral:lncRNA from 1 species